rnacentral:lncRNA from 1 species
UUCUUUUUAAAUUGUUAAGGUUUCACAGUUCAGAAUGUGUUCUACGUUCUAUGUUCUAUCUGAGCUAGGGAAGAAUGUGUAUUCUGUUGUUGGAUGAAGUAGUCUACAGAUGUCAGUUAUAUCCAAAUCCUCAGCUGCAUUUUGCAUUAUUUCCAGAGUUCUUGGUUGUAAUCAGUGGAGAGACAGGCUGUGGAAGACUUACCCCAUUUCGAUCAACACCAGGUGAAAAGGGCUGAGUUCAGAGCACUUCUCGACAGAUGAACAUAUGGAGGUUGACAGGAAGGGAACAAAAACUCAUCCAUGUACCAACAGUGGAGGACUCCACCUCCACAGGGACAAAAUCUCCUGUGCUCAGGACCCUUCCAAGUCUUGCCCUAUGUAUCUCUUUAUCUGUUUGUAUCCUUUGAAAUAAACCAGUAAACCAAA